UACGGAGGGGGCUAGCGUUAUUCGGAAUUACUGGGCGUAAAGCGCACGUAGGCGGACUGGAAAGUUGGAGGUGAAAUCCCAGGGCUCAACCUUGGAACUGCCUUCAAAACUCCCAGUCUUGAGAUCGAGAGAGGUGAGUGGAAUUCCGAGUGUAGAGGUGAAAUUCGUAGAUAUUCGGAGGAACAUCAGUGGUGAAGGCGGCUCACUGGCACGAUACUGAUGCUGAGGUGUGAAAGUGUGGGGAGCAAACAGG
rnacentral:rRNA from 1 species